rnacentral:rRNA from 1 species
GUGCGUAGGCGGCUUCUUAAGUUUGGUGUGAAAUCUCCCGGCUCAACUGGGAGGGUGCGCCGAAUACUGAGGGGCUAGAGUGUGGGAGAGGAAAGUGGAAUUCCAGGUGUAGCGGUGAAAUGCGUAGAUAUCUGGAGGAACACCGGUGGUGUAAACGGCUUUCUGGACCAUUACUGACGCUGAUGCACGAAAGCGUGGGUAGCAAACAGGAUUAGAUACCCUGGUAGUCCACGCCCUAAACGAUGCAUAUUUGGUGUGGGCCAUUCAUUUGGUCCGUGCCGGAGCUAACGCGUUAAAUAUGCCGCCUGGGGAGUACAGUCGCAAGGCUGAAACUCAAAGGAAUUGACGGGGGCCCGCACAAGCGGUGGAGCAUGUGGUUUAAUUCGACGCAACGCGAAGAACCUUACCUGGGCUCGAAAUGUUACGGACAGUCUGUGAAAGCAGGCCUUCCCGCAAGGGACCGUAGUAUAGGUGCUGCAUGGCUGUCGUCAGCUCGUGUCGUGAGAUGUUGGGUUAAGUCCCGCAACGAGCGCAACCCUUGUCCUGUGUU